rnacentral:rRNA from 1 species
UACAGAGGGGGCAAGCGUUAUUCGGAAUUAUUGGGCGUAAAGGGCGCGUAGGUGGCUUGGCAAGUGGAAGGUGAAAUCCCUCGGCUCAACUGAGGAACUGCCUUCCAGACUGCUUUGCUUGAGGCCGGGAGAGGCGAGUGGAAUUCCCAGUGUAGCGGUGAAAUGCGUAGAUAUUGGGAGGAACACCAGUGGCGAAGGCGGGUCUCUGGGCCGAUACUGACGCUGAGGAGCGAAAGCGUGGGGAGCGAACAGG